rnacentral:lncRNA from 1 species
GGAAAAACAUCUACUCCAAGCAAGCUCCUUUCCCAUCUCCAAGCCUCAAGCCUAACCUGACAAAAGUACAUGGAAUGUGGAAUCUUGUUGGCUUUUGUGACUUCAAUGCUGUAGUGUUUGCCUUGGAUGAGUUUCUGGCUUUUAUAUCAUGCUUUUAUUUCUGGGAAUACUUAUGCAAAGAAAAGAAAUUUAAGGCUUAAUCUCUCUUUCCACUAGAUAUCCAAACUCUUGAAGUUUUAAAUCAUUACUACUUGGAAUAAUUGCACCCCAUCUCCAUCCCGUGGUCCCUAACACUGUGUCAUUUCAACUACAACCAGGGAUGGAGAAAAGAUUGGAAGCGCUUGUUGAACCGUUCACUGGAAACUGCGCAGCAGGCGUUUCAGUGAUGAGCUUGGAGUGCCGCUCUGUGGAAGAAGGUGAGGGCUACAAUUUCUUUCUUACAGGUAUUGGCUUCAUCCUAAAGGAGGAUUAAUGAAAUCGCCAACCUUGUCAUAGCUGUGUGGAUGUAACUUAAUGUUCUCUAAGAAGGAAUCACAGGUGAAAAUGACUGAGUCAUUUGAAUCGAGAUACUUUUUCACGAAAUGAUCUAUGGAUUAAACAGUAUUUAAGAAAAAAAAAACAACUCUGUUGUGAACCUGUUGAGAUCUAUGGUGGAGGAACCUGUCUUCCCUUUUGCUAUUAUACAAUAUUUAGUAUGGUAGUUAAGAGGAGAGUGGUGAAUACCCACACAUACCCCUGGCUUCACAUGAAACUGAUGCAGAAUACUCGGUCCUGCCUCUUCAGUGUACUGGGACAGGGAGUGAACAUAAACUUCAUUUUAUGAGAACUGAAGAGACACUUUAAAAUGGGAAAGGGGACUGAGUCUCUGCACACCCAGACUUCUUUAUUUGUCAAGAAACAGUAGCUGUAAAUCAGGGUCUUACUCAAAACUUCAACCACCCCAGACCAGCCACGCCCCCCCAAAGAGGGCUCUGUGGUCCAAUUUCAGAAAGCAAGCUCACUUCAUUCUGAUACCCACAGUUUCUUCUUGCCUUAAUAUGGUGUUUUCUGAAUUGAAAUAUACAUACAACAAAGGAUACAUUAUAUAUUAUAGGAAAAUAUAACUGGCAUGGUUUCAUGGUUUCACCAAGAUUGUUGU